UAAAAAAAUUUUUUGUUGACUAUUCAGAGCACUUGAAGCCGCUAUUCGAGUAAAAACAUUAAGACACAAUUUUUUAAUUAGAAAGGCAUUUCAAAUCAAUUUUUUAAUACUGUCACAGUCUACUGCAGUCGAAGCAGUGCGUCUGCAAACACUACUUCCUCCAAUUCCUCUAAAAGUUGAGCUAAAAGAUAUGUUCACUAAAAAGCAGCGAAUGAGAAUAGAGACAUUGUUGGAAGAUGGAAGGGGGAUCGAAAUCGGACGAGUUAUUUGCUAAAGAAAAAAGCAACUUUA